rnacentral:rRNA from 1 species
AUUGAACGCUGGCGGCAGGCCUAACACAUGCAAGUCGAGCGAGUGGCGGACGGGUGAGUAAUGUCUGGGAAACUGCCUGAUGGAGGGGGAUAACUACUGGAAACGGUAGCUAAUACCGCAUACCAUCAGAUGUGCCCAGAUGGGAUUAGCUAGUAGGUGGGGUAAUGGCUCACCUAGGCGACGAUCCCUAGCUGGUCUGAGAGGAUGACCAGCAACACGGGAACUGAGACACGGUCCAUCCUCCUACGGGAGGCAGCAGUGGGGAAUAUUGCACAAUGGGCGCAAGCCUGAUGCAGCCAUGCCGCGUGUAUGAAGAAGGCCUUCGGGUUGUAAAGUACUUUCAGCGGGGAGGCGUUACUCGCAGAAGAAGCACCGGCUAACUCCGUGCCAGCAGCCGCGGUAAUAC